rnacentral:rRNA from 1 species
GAUGAACGCUAGCGGCAGGCCUAAUACAUGCAAGUCGAACGGUAACAGGGUAGCAAUACUGCUGACGAGUGGCGCACGGGUGAGUAACGCGUAUGCAACCUACCUUUAACUGGAGGAUAACCCCUCGAAAGAGGGACUAAUAUUCCAUAGUAAUCAGAGAAGGCAUCUUUUUGGUUUAAAGCUCCGGCGGUUAAAGAUGGGCAUGCGUGACAUUAGUUAGUUGGUGAGGUAACGGCUCACCAAGACGAUGAUGUCUAGGGGUUCUGAGAGGAUGAUCCCCACACUGGUACUGAGACACGGACCAGACUCCUACGGGAGGCAGCAGUGAGGAAUAUUGGUCAAUGGGCGAGAGCCUGAACCAGCCAAGUCGCGUGAAGGAUGAAGGUUUUAUGAAUUGUAAACUUCUUUUGCAGGGGAAUAAAGUGUCCGACGUGUCGGAUUUUGUAUGUACUCUGCGAAUAAGGAUCGGCUAACUCCGUG